UCAAAAAACCUGGGUCCUCUGCAGAGUUACACUUUGGGUUUGUUUUAAUGUUUAACCUGUCUGUGGGACAAAGUUCUCUGCCUAGAUGGAAAGUUACAUGUUGCUUUUAGUCUUUCCUCCUACAAUAACGCCCACUUCAGAUUUAAAAAUAAGCAAUUUCCUGUGUUUGAGAAAGUGAAACUCAGAAACUUUAGAGAACCCACCCAGGCUGUAGAAGGAGAAGACUCUGAGCAGCUUCAGAGAAGAUCCCAGACCUGUCCAGAGGCCUGCAAGCUGUGAAGUUUCAGCUGUGCUGUUCCCAGAGUCACCACCUGUGUUGAGGUGGGCUCUGUAGUGAUGUAGCUGCUGUGAACUCAUCCCAGCUCCUCCCCUUGCUUGGACAUGGUGAACGGGUGGUGGUAGUGCAGGCAUUACCACUCACAAAUGGAGCUUCCACCAGGAUCAGAGAAAGAAGGGACGUAGCUGAUGGACACCCGAAAGUGAGGCUGGCCAGCAUUUUAAAGAAAAGAGAAGG